GUAUAGAGUAGUUCCUGAGCCUCCUUCCAAAUAAUAUAAACUUUUUCCCUAAAAGAUCUGAAAAUGGGCAUAAUUUAAGAUCACAAGGUAUUUUCCCCAUUAAAAUGUUCCCAAGAUUAGAUCACCAUUUGCCAAAAUAAACAAAACUUAAUUCUUUGGCUCUUCCUAUAGGGAAUUCACUACAGACUGAUUUCAGGUUGGGGCACUGUUUACUGGUGAGAAUGAUAAAUUUCAAGAGUCGCUUUGGCUGUUUUGAGAGUGCACAGUGUCAGUAGAGACUUUGUGUGCUUUGAACUGAAUUUAAUGGGGUUUUAUACCAUUCUCUUAUACUGAUAGGAUAAAAUAAGGCAAGAAGUUUCAUGCCUUUAACAUUCUACCUUACCUCCUGUCGUGGUUUAAACUAACUCUGCACAGUUCCCCCUUUGUUUCCCCUCCCCCCCCUCACCAUCCCACUCCCGGAGGGAUGGGAAGGAGAGCCAGAGGAAUACAACUCCCACGGAUUGAGGUAAAAUCAGUCCAGCAAUCAAGGUAUAACAGAAAUCACUAAUGGUACCAAUAACGAAUCAAUGUUAGAGGAGACAACCAGGGAGAGAGAAUACGAUACCACCCGCAGCCACGAGGCCAGCCCGGAGGAGAGAGCUAACCCCUCCCCUCCUGGCCAGCUUCCAGUUCCCUCUCCGAGCCCAGCCCGGAGUGUUAACCCUUUCCCUUCCGGCCAGCUUCCAGUCCCCUCCGCAAGCAGGACGUGCUGUGAAGUCCCAGGCAUAAUGAAGGGACCUCCUUUUGGCUAAUUCUGCAGGACCUAAUGAUAUUGUAGAUGCACUGUGAAGAGAUUCCAAGACAAGGUAGGCAGGAACUGUGGCAGUGAGUUAUGACUAUGCUGCAGCAGCACUCCAAUACAGACCAGUGUGAUGACAGCAGGGUCACUUUCUCAGCUGUAAAAUAUUCCCAGUUUUAGUUGUGAAGGCAAACAACUUGGACAAAGCAUUCUGAAAGGUGCUUUCCCCCCCUCCCCCCCCAAAAAAAAAAGAAAAUUUCUUCCCUUCCAGGGUGGAGAAAAAAACCCUGCCCAUUCUGGAAAGAUAUGUACCUGCAGCAUUUGAAUUCUGAUCUCUAUUCAACCUUUCAAACACCAUCACCUCAAAACAGCACAAAAGACCUUCUGCAGCUAGUAUUAAAACGUAACAUGCUUUGCUAAGCAUUACAUUCUAUUUUUUUUUUAUGGCAGUGCAAAAUGUGUCCAUGGAGUACAGGAUGAAAAUGGUUAUAGUCUACUGAUGAAAAGAUGCAUCUUUCUUUAUAGAUGACUUAUUUCUAAUAGAAUGCAUUCAAUUUUUGUCCUUAAAUGUGACCUCUGCCUUCCCCUCUCACCCUCCCCAAACCAACAGGCCUUUCUGAAUUAUAUAAAACUUUGUUUUCAAAACCAAUUUCUUUGGAUGGGUUCUGGGACUUAUGUAAGAUGUAUUGCUGAAGACUGGAGGAAAUGCACUUAUAUCGAGCUUCAUCAAAAAUACUGAUGGGGAGCCAUUAACUGCUAUGUGAAGUCAUUGGAUGACAGUGAUUGGAAGGAGCAUGACUAGAUAUUCAGGUUUUUAAAAGGAUUUUAUCUAUCAUUAUGAAUGAUCUAUAAACUAGGAGAAAUCAUUUAAUCCAUCACUGUUGUAUUAAAUGAUGUAUCACUGGUGACUAUUGUAAGUGUGCAGUCAUUAAAUUUGUCCAUAACAGUUCAUGGGAAUCUCAGAAAAUGUAAAGAAAAGGCCUUGUCAAGAAAAAAGGAGAGAACAGAAUUUC
rnacentral:lncRNA from 14 species